CCUACGGGGGGCAGCAGUAGGGAAUCUUCCACAAUGGGCGAAAGCCUGAUGGAGCAACGCCGCGUGGGUGAAGAAGGUCUUCGGAUCGUAAAACCCUGUUGUUAGAGAAGAACGUGCGUGAGAGUAACUGUUCACGUUUCGACGGUAUCUAACCAGAAAGCCACGGCUAACUACGUGCCAGCAGCCGCGGUAAUACGUAGGUGGCCAGCGUUAUCCGGAUUUAUUUGGCGUAAAGGGAACGCAGGCGGUCUUUUAAGUCUGAUGUGAAAGCCUUCGGCUUAACCGGAGUAGUGCAUUGGAAACUGGGAGACUUGAGUGCAGAAGAGGAGAGUGGAACUCCAUGUGUAGCGGUGAAAUGCGUAGAUAUAUGGAAGAACACCAGUGGCGAAAGCGGCUCUCUGGUCUGUAACUGACGCUGAGGUUCGAAAGCGUGGGUAGCAAACAGGAUUAGAUACCCCGGUAGUC
rnacentral:rRNA from 1 species